GGGCUCUUAGCUUAAAGGUAAAGUACAUGAGCGUCACUCAUGCUGAUACCAGUUCGAGUCUGGUAGGGCUCG
rnacentral:tRNA from 1 species